UACAUUCGGUGACAGGUGGUGCAUGGUUGUCGUCAGCUCGUGUCGUGAGAUUGUUGGGUUAAGUCCCGCAACGAGCGCAACCCCUAUUGUUUAGUUGCCAUCAUUCAGUUGGGGACUCUAGCGAGACUGCCGGUAAUAAACCGGAGGAAGUGGGGAUGACGUCAAAUCAUCAUGCCCCUUAUGACCUGGGCUACACACGUGCUACAAUGGUUGGUACAACGAGUUGCGAGUCGGUGACGGCGAGCUAAUCUCUUAAAGCCAAUCUCAGUUCGGAUUGUAGGCUGCAACUCGCCUACAUGAAGUCGGAAUCGCUAGUAAUCGCGGAUCAGCACGCCGCGGUGAAUACGUUCCCGGGCCUU
rnacentral:rRNA from 1 species